rnacentral:rRNA from 1 species
GCUGUGAGCUCGAUGAGUAGGGCGGGACACGUGGUAUCCUGUCUGAAUAUGGGGGGACCAUCCUCCAAGGCUAAAUACUCCUGACUGACCGAUAGUGAACCAGUACCGUGAGGGAAAGGCGAAAAGAACCCCGGCGAGGGGAGUGAAAAAGAACCUGAAACCGUGUACGUACAAGCAGUGGGAGCACAGGUUUACCUGUGUGACUGCGUACCUUUUGUAUAAUGGGUCAGCGACUUAUAUU